UGGUUGGACGAGGUAAUAACUGUCUUUAUUUAAUAAAUAGUAGAAUUUAACUUUUGAGUUAAAAGGCUUAAAUUUAAUUGAUAGACGAGAAGACCCUAUAGAUCUUUAUUUACAGGACUAUAUAUUGGAUUUGGAUAUAUUUAUAAUUUAUAGCUUUGUAAAUUUUAUUGGGGUAAUAUAGAGAUUAACUAAAUUCUUUGAAUAAUUUCAACAAUGAUGAUUGAUAAACUGAUCCAUUAGGAUUGAUUAUAAGAUUAAGUUAC
rnacentral:rRNA from 1 species